rnacentral:lncRNA from 1 species
CCUCUCCUUUCUAUUCUUCUGCCGCCACCACCCCAUCUUUCUUCCUCGCCUCUUUCCACACCCCUCAUCUGCCAUUCAUUCUCCGCAUCCGGGUCUCCUCGUGUAAUGUCAUGGCAUAAAUCGCAGAGACAUUCCUCUGUUCUUCCUGCCCUUCGAGCCCGCACCAGAAGCAGGGGUCCUCAUCGAUCGAUCUUGUAAGCAUCUGCCUUGCAGAAUCAGAAUCUUGUUACAUAUAUAUUCAUGUUCUUUCCUGGAAUUUUCGUGGUGACUGGAUAAUAUAUGCAGUGAGGAUGAAAUUAGUCCCGGUUCUGUCGGCGUUAGCCGUGGUGUUGUUGGGGUUCGUCGUCAGCUUCUCUUUCCCGGCAUCGAUGACGCCCAAUGUAUGAUAAGAAACAUCAAAAGGUUUUCAUAUUGGUAUAUUUUCUUCAAAUUAACUUGGCAUCAUGAUUAUUAGAUUGGUCAUGUAUGUAUGCAGCUUCAGUGUGGCGUACAGCCUUGGAGUAGCAGCGG